rnacentral:rRNA from 1 species
GAUGAACGCUGGCGGCGUGCCUAAUACAUGCGAGUCAAGCGAACAGACGAGGAGCUUGCUCCUCUGACGUUAGCGGCGGACGGGUGAGUAACACGUGGAUAACCUACCUAUAAGACUGGGAUAACUUCGGGAAACCGGAGCUAAUACCGGAUAAUAUAUUGAACCGCAUGGUUCAAUAGUGAAAGACGGUUUUGCUGUCACUUAUAGAUGGAUCCGCGCCGCAUUAGCUAGUUGGUAAGGUAACGGCUUACCAAGGCGACGAUGCGUAGCCGACCUGAGAGGGUGAUCGGCCACACUGGAACUGAGACACGGUCCAGACUCCUACGGGAGGCAGCAGUAGGGAAUCUUCCGCAAUGGGCGAAAGCCUGACGGAGCAACGCCGCGUGAGUGAUGAAGGUCUUCGGAUCGUAAAACUCUGUUAUUAGGGAAGAACAAAUGUGUAAGUAACUAUGCACGUCUUGACGGUACCUAAUCAGAAAGCCACGGCUAACUACGUG